CCUACGGGAGGCAGCAGUGGGGAAUAUUGCACAAUGGGGGAACCCCUGAUGCAGCGACGCCGCGUGAGUGAAGAAGUACUUCGUUAUGUAAAGCUCUAUCAGCCGGGAAGAAAAUGACGGUACCUGAGUACGAAGCCCCGGCUAACUACGUGACAGCAGCCGCGGGAAUACGUAGGGGGCAAGCGUUAUUCGGAUUUACUGGGGGUAAAGGGGGCGUAGACGGGAGUGCAAGUCUGGUGUGAAAGGCGGGGGCUCAACCCCCGGACUGCUCUGGAAACUGUACGGCUGGAGUGCAGGAGAGGUAAGUGGAAUGCGUGGUGUAGCGGUGAAAUGCGUAGAUAUUAGGAGGAACACCAGUGGCGAAGGCGGCUUACUGGGCUGUAACUGACGUUGAGGCUCGAAAGCGUGGGGAGCAAACAGGAUUAGAUACCCUUGUAGUC
rnacentral:rRNA from 1 species